UGGGGAAUAUUGCGCAAUGGGCGAAAGCCUGACGCAGCAACGCCGCGUGGGGGAUGACGGCUUUCGGGUUGUAAACCCCUUUCAGUGAUGACGAAAAUGACGGUAAUCACAGAAGAAGCCCCGGCCAACUACGUGCCAGCAGCCGCGGUAACACGUAGGGGGCGAGCGUUGUCCGGAUUUAUUGGGCGUAAAGAGCUCGUAGGCGGUUGCGUAAGUCGGAUGUGAAAACUCAGGGCUCAACCCUGAGCAGCCAUUCGAUACUGCGCUGACUAGAGUCCGGUAGGGGAGCAUGGAAUUCCUGGUGUAGCGGUGAAAUGCGCAGAUAUCAGGAGGAACACCAGUAGCGAAGGCGGUGCUCUGGGCCGGUACUGACGCUGAGGAGCGAAAGCAUGGGUAGCAAACAGGAUUAGAUACCCCCGUAGUCC
rnacentral:rRNA from 1 species